CCUACGGGGAGCAGCAGUGAGGAAUAUUGGUCAAUGGACGCAAGUCUGAACCAGCCAUGCCGCGUGCAGGAAGACGGCCCUAUGAGUUGUAAACUGCUUUUGUACGAGGGUAAACGCAGGUACGCGUAUCUGUCUGAAAGUAUCGUACGAAUAAGGAUCGGCUAACUCCGUGCCAGCAGCCGCGGUAAUACGGAGGAUUCAAGCGUUAUCCGGAUUUAUUGGGUUUAAAGGGUGCGUAGGCGGUCGGAUAAGUUAGAGGUGAAAUCCCGAGGCUCAACUUCGGAAUUGCCGCUGAUACUGGGCGGCUAGAGAGUAGUUGCGGUAGGCGGAAUGCAUGGUGUAGCGGUGAAAUGCUUAGAGAUCAUACAGAACCCCGAUUGCGAAGGCAGCUUACCAAGCUACUUCUGACGUUGAGGCACGAAAGCGUGGGGAGCAAACAGGAUUAGAUACCCGGGUAGUC
rnacentral:rRNA from 1 species